rnacentral:rRNA from 1 species
ACGGGAGGCAGCAGUGGGGAAUUUUGGACAAUGGGCGAAAGCCUGAUCCAGCAAUGCCGCGUGCAGGAUGAAGGCCUUCGGGUUGUAAACUGCUUUUGUACGGAACGAAAAGGCUCUGGCUAAUACCUGGGGCACAUGACGGUACCGUAAGAAUAAGCACCGGCUAACUACGUGCCAGCAGCCGCGGUAAUACGUAGGGUGCGAGCGUUAAUCGGAAUUACUGGGCGUAAAGCGUGCGCAGGCGGUUUUGUAAGACAGAGGUGAAAUCCCCGGGCUCAACCUGGGAACUGCCUUUGUGACUGCAAAGCUGGAGUGCGGCAGAGGGGGAUGGAAUUCCGCGUGUAGCAGUGAAAUGCGUAGAUAUGCGGAGGAACACCGAUGGCGAAGGCAAUCCCCUGGGCCUGCACUGACGCUCAUGCACGAAAGCGUGGGGAGCAAACAGGAUUAGAUACCCUGGUAGUCCACGCCCUAAACGAUGUCAACUGGUUGUUGGGUCUUAACUGACUCAGUAACGAAGCUAACGCGUGAAGUUGAC